rnacentral:lncRNA from 1 species
UCUGUUAAAUUUCACUGUGAAUGUUGUUAGAUAUUGUCAGGUCAAAUAUGUUAAUGGAUACAUUUCAAGUGGUGUGAACCAGUAGAAAGGAUCAACUUCAUACCCAAAGUUACAGCAGAUCCCAACUCUCAAGCUUAGUUUUUAACAAACUUACUGCUACCACUGAAUCUUUUGGUUGCAUCUGAGUGGAUUUUGGAGCAAUCCUCUGGUUCACUGCUUGUUGAUCGUAAAUUUUUCCUUUGCUGCUGUAUGCUUAUUUAGUCAUCUGCAAUCAGUGCCGAAUGGUCGAUUAGUUCAUGAUGUUUAGACAAUUCAGAACAGAAAGAAUUUUGGGACAGACCUUGUAACUGUCAAUGUUGUGCUAGGCAGAAGCCAGGUACUGGGGGGUAGUCUCCUUACUGAUGUGCCAAAAAGCAACAGAAAUAUCAUUCAAGGAUCCUGGUCAUACAUAUAUUCUUGGUUUUUGGAAGAGAUGAAGAUGAGCUGAUCAUACAAAAGAAGUUCAUGAAUUAGUUCUCCAAAACACCAUUUACCCAAAGCUCAGUGAAGUUUCUCUGUUUGUGAGCUGAUGACUAAGAAGAAAUGUACCUUAUUUCUAAUUGUCCCAGGAAUAAUGCCAAGACUGUUUCAUUUGAUCAUAAAGUGUUUUCUUGAACUGCAGAAAAACAACUCCAUUAUGCUGUCACCAUCUUUUGCUGUUGCACAUGGCAUUCUUAGGGUAAUCACGAAUCUGCAACAAGAUUCGCUGAAGCUAACAUAUCCAACCAAUGCAAUCCAGAAAUCAUAUUGUAUAUAUGACUUGUUUUUCUAGUGGUAGAGCAACAUCAAAGAAAUCAAAUGAAAUGCAUCUCAAUGAACACUUAAAUAGCAGUAACAAAUUAGAUAUAAUCUUAUUACAUAUCUUGCCAACCAUUGUCUAUUGAUGCCAGAGUUUUCACCGAAGAAUAGCACGUUCAAAAACAUUUGGCACAAAUAAUAAAUGCAGGAACUGGAUCCAGUUCUCUAUAAAUCAUUGUAGUAAAAUCAAGUAUUUUCAUUCUUCCAUCCAAAAGGAUGGUAAACCCGUAUUAGGUAACAGCCCAAGUGCUACCAACAACACAUUUCUGACCAGAUAUACAAUGAGAAAUCUCUAGAAGUCAUAUGUUGUCACCAUAUUCCAUUUGUCACUUAGUCAUCUCUGCCUCGUUGUGGAUCAGCACCUCCAAAAGAAACCGAGGACUUCAUUCAGUGGCUCCACAAUCGCCCUCUAAACUACCAAAACAAGGUAAAGCUUGAAGAUAAGUUUUGUACUCUAUUAAUUUCUCAGUCCCUCUAGUCGGGUUGAUGCAGCCGACCCUUGGACCAUAUCCCCCUAAAAACCGUACAUGCAGGUCUCCCCACAUGCUGUUCACACCAUUCAAGGUGGUAGUUUUUGAGAGUGAGAGAAUCACCAGUGGUAGAUACAUCUCAAAUUUACCACAAUUUGCUGUUCCUUUUUAUUUGUCCAACGCAUAAACGUAAAGCCCCAAGCAGUUUUUACCCCAAGAUUCAAGGAAUUACACUAAAUGACUUCAAUAAAUUAUCGGUAUAAACAAGAAACUUUUUUCUUUUGCCAUGCUAUAUAUUCCUACAGCAAGGAAUUCACUUAUCCACAAAAGUAGAUCUAGAGUCAAAUCCAUAUGGAUCCCAAAAUGAUAUCCUUGCAAAUCUUGGAGAAUGGGCUAACUCAACUCCAAAAAUAUAGACUACAAGGUGUAAGUGGAAAGCAUCUUAAGGAGGCAAAGUAUCAGCCACUCAAGAUGCAGCUAUGGAAUUAUAGGUGACACAACUGCAAUGACAUACAAAUGGAAAGAAGACAUACUUCCUAAGAUAUCAGCAUUUAUGUGAAGAUCAUUUCUUUCUAAGCAUAUAUUUUAACUUCAAACUAGUAAUUUCAUCCAUUCAAGACAUGCUAACCGAUCUUACAAAAGAGCAUAAAUAACAGAGAACCAAAAUUCAACAGUUUUUUUUUAUGCCUCUAUUUUGCAAAGCAAGAGUGGUUACUCACCCAAUCACAUGGAGAAACUUAAAGAAAUAAGAGUUACAUAAUGCCGAAAUCAGGGUCAAAAAUUGAACAAAAUUAUGCAGAUAAUCCUACAUAAUUAUUUGAUUGAUAGAAAAAAAAGUAUUAGAGAUAUUAGCUUUGCAAACUUAAUCUUAUAGACUUCAUGGAUAUUGAACAAUACAAGGAUACAGGCUUUAUUAACUUAACACUUGUGGACUUUCAUAUAGUAAUCAAACAAUAAAGCUACAUGAGACUCAACCGGCAUCUCUUGGGCCAAUGAUCUAUAUCCGGUAGAUCAGAAAGUGAUACCUUUUUCUUUUCUGGAGACAGGAAGGCAAAUGGAACAAUAUCAACUGUUAAAUUGAUAUCAAAUACCAAAUCAAUGGCUUUUAGAUAUUCUAGAUAUGGAUGAACCUACAAAGACUAGAUAAAAGGACUCCAGACCACAAAGCUUCAACACCAAGUUUCUAAUACAAUAAUUAAUAGAAAUGUCUAAAGUCCAAACAUACAGCAUUAGCUUUACCUCUAGUGUCAUAACAAGGUGUACACUUUUGACCUUUGAGAAUAAUAUACAGAUAUAUUUGUAAAAAUAAAUUUCUAAAGGGGACACUGUACACAAAUUAAGGUCCCAAAACAUUUUGUGAGUCUAAUCAAAGGUCUAUUUAGAUAUGAAUCUACUCUAAAUAGUUUGUAUGGUUUUGAAACAGAAAGCAGAUUCAAUAAUUGGGCCUCUUAGUAAAAAUCAUAUGCCUUUGAGAAACAAAAGCCUAAAUAUGAGGAGACCAAAAAAUGAUUUAUGAGAAGUAGACCUGAGAGUCAACAUGAGUAGUUCAAGCAAGCUAUAAGAGAAUAAUUGGUAGAUUUAUUUUCUUGUAUAUAAACCAUGAUGAUAUAGUUGAAGUAAAUGAAAAGAAACCUUACCUACUUUAAGUUUUUUAUUAUUUUCUAUAGUAAUUGGAAACACUAAUUCUUUGAUUCAUGAGAUGCGUUUUAUUAACUAUAACUUUGGCGAACUGUUUAAGGAAUAAACAAUGAAGCUUUUUAUGACAAAAAGAAAAGAAAAUUGUCUCCUUAAUUGAAUCUGACUCUGCAAUUCUUAAUUAAAUUAGAUGAUACCUUAGAAAGGGGAACAAAUCUAAUCCCAUGAUAACAAGAUGCUACUUUUCAAUGAUAAAAUGGUCAAAUAAAUGGUCCAAACAAUAAGAAAAGAUGGUAGAUAGCCGGGAUUCUUUACCCCCUUUACCUUUUGACACUCCUUUUGCACUUAUGAUAAUCCAAUUCAAAUAUAAAUAUAUAUAUACCCCAAGAUUUCCUGGCACCUAAAUCAACAUAAAAACAAAGUUGACAGUAUUGAAAUCUCCAGGCAAAGCACAAACGUUUUUAAACAGAUACCAAAAGAAAAGCAAAGGUCACAGUAAAAAAAAUCCCAAAAGUCUUAAGUUGAAUGAUAUCAACUGUCGGAGAGAGACAAAUAAAAAUCAUAGUUACUUCAAGUAAAUGAUAUGCUUCUAACUUUCAAGCAAUCAUGCGAUAUGCUUUUGCUUAACAUUUCAGUCAAGUGCCUGUCAGCUAUAGAAUUUUCUUUCUUUUUCCCCCUUUUUCUUUUUAACCAUAAAAUCUUAACCACAGUAGAAAGUUCAACGGCAACAUUUCUAUAAUCGUGCAAAUAGAUGUAUAAUAAAAAAACCCAUCAAAGUUUAUGAGUGUAUAUAAGCUACAGCGAAUGGAAGAGCUGUGAAUCAAGUCAAGCUGAAAAAGAUUAGAGCUUACCAGUUAUCAGGGCUUGAAAGAGCAGAGAAGAAACUUUGUGUUGGAACCAAAAUACACAUAAACAUAAAAGAAAUUGGAAACUUUGCUUAUAUAGACUCUUGAAUUCAAGCGAACCAUAGCUUAUUAUUCAAUCUUGGCUUUUUCUUUUUUCUUUUUCCCUAAUAUUUAGAUAUAAUGUUCAAUUUUCUUUUUGGGUAUUAAGUUGCUUCGUUAUUGGAGUCUUUAUAUUAUAAUUACCUCUUAUUAUAAUAUAAUUUAUUACUUGCAUUGUCUCUUAAUUAUAAUUAUGAUUGCAGCAGCAAUUAUCUAAAUCUAAAUGGACUUUCAAAUUUUUUAAGAACGUAAAAGCCGUGCAAUCCUAAUUAUAAUUGUAUAUUAAAAUUAAAAUUACAAUGAAUGUGAAAUUCAUAAUUAAAAUAAAUCUUAUGUGAUGGACUGAUAGUAUCCUAGGUGUGGCCUGAGUUUAAGUCGCACUAGUUGUGUUAGUUGUUUAGGUUUUCCCUUGUUA